rnacentral:rRNA from 1 species
UUCGGGAACUCUGACACAGGUGCUGCAUGGCUGUCGUCGGCUCGUGUCGUGAGAUGUUGGGUUAAGUCCCGUAACGAGCGCAACCCUUGUCCUUAGUUACCAGCACGUUAUGGUGGGCACUCUAAGGAGACUGCCGGUGACAAACCGGAGGAAGGUGGGGAUGACGUCAAGUCAUCAUGGCCCUUACGGCCUGGGCUACACACGUGCUACAAUGGUCGGUACAAAGGGUUGCCAAGCCGCGAGGUGGAGCUAAUCCCAUAAAACCGAUCGUAGUCCGGAUCGCAGUCUGCAACUCGACUGCGUGAAGUCGGAAUCGCUAGUAAUCGUGAAUCAGAAUGUCACGGUGAAUACGUUCCCGGGCCUU